GUGAGCACAUAGCGAACUAUUCUUUCGCCUUUUACUAAAGAAUACCGUGUGCUCGUCGCAUCAAGCGGCAUACGCCUAUUUUUGGAGGGGUCGCUCUAUGAGCUACCCCAACCAAUCCAUAAGCUAAGUUUAACUUCCGGCAUUCGAGAAUUUCUUGAAAGAGAGGGCUUCAUCAGAAAAUCAAGAAACCCUACGGUUAAUCGGAUUUGAUUCUUUCCACGGUGUAAUGCAUAAUUUCCUAAACAAUAUGUUUACAAAAAAUAACAGUGUAACUCCAAUAAGUUUGAAAAUGACAUGUCGGAAUGUUUA